GAUGAACGCUAGCUACAGGCUUACACAUGCAAGUCGAGGGGCAGCAUGGUCUUAGCUUGCUAAGGCUGAUGGCGACCGGCGCACGGGUGAGUAACACGUAUCCAACCUGCCGUCUACUCUUGGCCAGCCUUCUGAAAGGAAGAUUAAUCCAGGAUGGGAUCAUGAGUUCACAUGUCCGCAUGAUUAAAGGUAUUUUCCGGUAGACGAUGGGGAUGCGUUCCAUUAGAUAGUAGGCGGGGUAACGGCCCACCUAGUCAACGAUGGAUAGGGGUUCUGAGAGGAAGGUCCCCCACAUUGGAACUGAGACACGGUCCAAACUCCUACGGGAGGCAGCAGUGAGGAAUAUUGGUCAAUGGGCGAUGGCCUGAACCAGCCAAGUAGCGUGAAGGAUGACUGCCCUAUGGGUUGUAAACUUCUUUUAUAAAGGAAUAAAGUCGGGUAUGCAUACCCGUUUGCAUGUACUUUAUGAAUAAGGAUCGGCUAACUCCGUGCCAGCAGCCGCGGUAAUACGGAGGAUCCGAGCGUUAUCCGGAUUUAUUGGGUUUAAAGGGAGCGUAGAUGGAUGUUUAAGUCAGUUGUGAAAGUUUGCGGCUCAACCGUAAAAUUGCAGUUGAUACUGGAUGUCUUGAGUGCAGUUGAGGCAGGCGGAAUUCGUGGUGUAGCGGUGAAAUGCUUAGAUAUCACGAAGAACUCCGAUUGCGAAGGCAGCCUGCUA
rnacentral:rRNA from 1 species